CUCCUACGGGAGGCAGCAGUGGGGAAUAUUGGACAAUGGGGGCAACCCUGAUCCAGCCAUGCCGCGUGGGUGAAGAAGGCCUUAGGGUUGUAAAACUCUUUCAGCGGGGAAGAUGAUGACGGUACCCGCAGAAGAAGCCCCGGCUAACUCCGUGCCAGCAGCCGCGGUAAUACGGAGGGGGCAAGCGUUGUUCGGAAUUACUGGGCGUAAAGGGCGUGUAGGCGGUUUGUCUAGUCAGGCGUGAAAGCCCCGGGCUUAACCUGGGAACUGCGUUUGAUACUGACAGGCUAGAGGUUGGGAGAGGAGAGUGGAAUUCCCAGUGUAGAGGUGAAAUUCGUAGAUAUUGGGAAGAACACCAGUGGCGAAGGCGGCUCUCUGGUCCACACCUGACGCUGAGGCGCGAAAGCGUGGGGAGCAAACAGGAUUAGAUACCCUGGUAGUCCACGCCGUAAACGAUGUGUGCUAGACGUUGGAUGUUCAGCAUUCGGUGUCGGAGCUAACGCAUUAAGCACACCGCCUGGGGAGUACGGCCGCAAGGUUAAAACUCAAAGGAAUUGACGG
rnacentral:rRNA from 1 species